GAAACCCUCAAAGACGUGCACGCUGCCAAAAGCGAAGUUCCGGGAACAGCGGUUAAAAGGAGAUGAGCGCGUCAGGGCCGCGCCGCGAGGCCCGCGGCGGCGACGGUCUUUCGGCGGGCGAGCGAGCGAGAGGACGCUGAACAGCGGUGCUGUGGCAACGGGCAAUGUUUAGACGCGGCGCUGCCGCCCCGUCCGCUACGGCGGCGGCGAGCGAGCAGGAGACCGGAGCCGACCGACGAGGGCGGUCGUGGCGGGGGCUUGGCCGUCAGACGACCGGCUGCAACGGGCGACCGAUACAUGCUUCUUGAAGGGGGUGACUACGACGUCGAUGAGACGCAUGAUAGGUGUGGGCAGAGCACAACCACAGGUCAGGUGCCAUUAGUCUACUGCUCCGUGGUCAGGUUGGGUGCCAGGGAAGGACAGUAACGCUGCUUUGUGGAAUGGACUAAGGUGAGAAAGUCAUCCCAAAAUUUGAGGCCGUUCACAUUUGGGAAUCUCUUCUUGGCUUCUUGCCGGAUGACUGAUCCCAGCAACACAUUUUGGACUGGCAAACUCUGAAUUGACCACUUAACAUCCUUUGAUAGAGCAUCGAAGAGGCACUGCCUUUAUAGUGCAACUCAUGCUCAGAGGCAUAAUAUCUCGAUUUUCCUCUGAAAAGAAGCCCUGUGGACUAUCUUGUUCCCUAACUAGCAUCAUCCUUGUUGUACCUAAGCACCAUUCACUCAAGAACUGUUCGGCAUCACAAUCUGAUCUUUGCCCAAAUGAGUGAAGAACUGAUCUGCUCGGAGCAGGAUUCUUUGUUCAUAUUUACCGCAAAUCUGAAUGAUUCUGUUGUAUUUUUAAUACGGAAGAUAAUAGAGCCUUGUUGUAUUUUUAAUCUGACAUCUUUUGUAUCGAUGCAAUGGAUAAAACUUGAAUGGUAUUACUGAAGA